CUGUUCGCCAUUUAAAGUGGUACGCGAGCUGGGUUUAGAACGUCGUGAGACAGUUCGGUCCCUAUCUGCCGUGGGCGCUGGAGAACUGAGGGGGGCUGCUCCUAGUACGAGAGGACCGGAGUGGACGCAUCACUGGUGUUCGGGUUGUCAUGCCAAUGGCACUGCCCGGUAGCUAAAUGCGGAAGAGAUAAGUGCUGAAAGCAUCUAAGCACGAAACUUGCCCCGAGAUGAGUUCUCCCUGACUCCUUGAGAGUCCUGAAGGAACGUUGAAGACGACGACGUUGAUAGGCCGGGUGUGUAAGCGCAGCGAUGCGUUGAGCUAACCGGUACUAAUGAACCGUGAGGCUUAACCUUACAACACCGAAGGUGUUU
rnacentral:rRNA from 1 species